rnacentral:rRNA from 1 species
UGAUAAUAAUUUAAGGUUUAAUCUGCUCAAUGAUUAUUUAAAUUGCCGCAGUAUUUUGACUGUGCAAAGGUAGCAUAAUAAUUAGUUUUUUAAUUGGAAACUGGAAUGAAUGAUUGGACGAGAAAAUUUCUGUCUCUUUAUUAAUUUUAUUUAAUUUUACUUUUAAGUUAAAAGGCUUAAAUUUUUUUAAAAGACGAGAAGACCCUAUAGAGUUUUAUUUAAUUUUGUUGGGGUGACAAGAAGAUAGGAAAAACUCUUUAAAUUAUAAUCAAUUAUAUUUGAAUAUUAAAUCUAUAUUAUUAAAUUUAAAAUAAAUUACCUUAGGGAUAACAGCGUAAUUUUUUUUUAGAGUUCUUAUUGAAAGAAGAGUUUGCGACCUCGAUGUUGGAUUAAAAUUUAUUUUGGGUGUAGAAGCUUAAAUAUAGAGUCUGUUC